GACUCUCGGCAACGGAUAUCUCGGCUCUCGCAUCGAUGAAGAACGUAGCGAAAUGCGAUACUUGGUGUGAAUUGCAGAAUCCCGUGAACCAUCGAGUCUUUGAACGCAAGUUGCGCCCGAAGCCACUAGGCCGAGGGCACGUCUGCCUGGGUGUCACGCAACGUCGCCAGCGCCCGAU
rnacentral:rRNA from 3 species